CAGUAGCCACGGUAAUACGUAGGUGGCAAGCGUUGUCCGGAAUUAUUGGGCGUAAAGGGCUCGCAGGCGGUUUCUUAAGUCUGAUGUGAAAGCCCCCGGCUCAACCGGGGAGGGUCAUUGGAAACUGGGAAACUUGAGUGCAGAAGAGGAGAGUGGAAUUCCACGUGUAGCGGUGAAAUGCGUAGAGAUGUGGAGGAACACCAGUGGCGAAGGCGACUCUCUGGUCUGUAACUGACGCUGAGGAGCGAAAGCGUGGGGAGCGAACAGGAUUAGAUACCCGUGUAGUCCCUGUCUCUUAUAC
rnacentral:rRNA from 1 species